rnacentral:tmRNA from 1 species
GGGGGCGAUCGGUUUCGACGGUGGAUGUCGAACCAGGUGAAGCGGGUCGAGAACGCGAUGUCAUCUCGUUAACGUUCGUCGCAAACCAAUAGGUGCCAAAUCCAACCGCACCGACUUCGCCCUGGCUGCCUAAGCGGCUAGGAGCGAGUCCGUCAGCCCGGGAGUGCUUCCGGCCCGGAUGCUGGCGUCAUUGAGGAGGCCAACGCUCACAGGUCCCUGUCACCGGGACCCUGAGCGAACCUAGGUGACUGGGCCCGUCGGCCGCGUGCUUGUGCGCGGCCGGGGCCGAGAAACUCGCAGCAAGCUGCACCCGGAGAAGCCCUGGUUCCCGUACAUCGGACGCGGGUUCAAUUCCCGCCGCCUCCACCA